CCUGAGCAGGGAGUGGCACUUGAUCCAAAGAGAGCCUCUGAAAUGGCUGCACCCGAUAUCUCAGCAGGUUACCCCAUAGAGUGUUGAGUGGGCAACUCAAUUAUUCCCUCACCUGAAGAAGUCUGAAAGCAAGACGAAGAGAGUCCUUUUGCAAGAGUGAUGUACAAAGCCCUACGGACAUACAGACUUCGUGUGCAAGUCCUGUGGAGGAGAGGAGAUGAGAGAGCAAUCGGUUGGUGGCAUCUGGGGACAUUAAACAGUGACGUGGACACAGUGAUGGCCUGCAGUGGUGAACCAGUGAGGGAACAAGUCCUAUGGUUGGGGAGCUACCUGAGGCUGGAGAGCAGAGUACAGCCAGGCCCACAGUGGUGCAGCAUACCAGAGUCAAGGUCUCACUAGGAUGUCCAGGCUGGCCUCGAACUCCUGGGCUCAAGCAAUCCACCUGCCUUGGCCUCUGAAAGUGCAGGAAUUACAGCUGCUGUGCCCUGAGGGGUGAGGGAAAUGUGGUCGCCUAAAACACCAUCAAAGGUUGCUGCUUAAACACUUCCCUCAGCCAUAUAUGAAGGCUAAAUCAGAUAAAGAUCCCAGGAAGUGUGCAACAGGCACAAGAUUCAAAGGAAGCAGGCUGCUUUCUUGCAGCAAGACAAGGCAAGUUGGAAGAGAGGAUUAUUUUUCUUCUUCAAAGCUCUCACCCUCAGGAGGAUUCCUAUCAACUACUUUGGGAAAGAGUGAGUACAAAAAGACAGGGGACAUACCAGAUGACCUCUCUGGGACCUUUAAGCCUGAAGAUUUCAUUACACAUUCUCUUCUUCUGCAAAUGUGCCCGGAGAAAUUUUAAUGAAUAGUGAGAUCCCAGCUGCUUGUGGUUAAAAGACCAUCAACACCAUAUGAAAGGUUUGUCAGAAACAAAUACUCCAAGUGGAGCAAAACAACCUCCUCAGAGCAUAAGUGACCAGUUUUUGAGACACUGGAUUUUUGGGAAGGGCUUUGAGAAGAAAAAAAAAGUUCUUAGUUGUAGCUUUUAAA
ensembl:lncRNA novel transcript